rnacentral:lncRNA from 1 species
CAAACACCACCGUGGCUAGCUCUAAGUCGUGGACAGGGUAGUUCUUCUCAUAGCUCUUCUACUGUAAUAUACUGAAUCUGGGCCUAUUAACAAGUUCGAAUGUGGGAAAUGGUAAAUGACACUACCCUACGUAUUCUAAAGGGUUUAGACAAGUUUUUGGAUAAGUUAGAGGAGUGAUUGAACGGCCGGAAGUAAGAAAGUGC